rnacentral:lncRNA from 1 species
GUCAGACACUGCGCAUGGUCAGUGGUGGCUGUGUCAACGGCUGCGCAGCUCAUGACGGCGCCGGGCUCUAACGGCCAGAACCUGUAGUUUGGGCGAGGGAAUAUUCUUUCCUUUACAGCCUGCCAUCUUCCACGUCAUCUGAAUCUCCUCUGACUAAGGCAGGGAAUGGGAGGGCUAACUAUGGAUAGUCAAGAUACAAAGUGUUGUUCGUGUCAAUAGUCUACUGACUCUUUAACCCUCUGUGUACUUCAUCGUUAUCUACUGAAAAAAAAAAAGUACUGAUGUCUUUAUCCUUGGAGAGGAGAGGUGUAAUCGAGAUGGAGAAGGUCUUUAUUUGAACAUCUGGUUUUCUGCUGCAAGCCUCCCUGUGGCUGGAUAGAAGCCACUUUGAAGCCUGGAAGCAAUGCCUGAGGUUCUCUAAUUACCUAUUUUCCCCUCAAAUAGAAAUAAAAUUGACUGUAAGAAAAUUUGGCAAUGAUUCAUUUUGUGGACUG